CAGCAGCCGCGGGAAAACCAGCAGCCCAAGUGGUGGUCGCGUUUAUUGGGCCUAAAGCGCUCGUAGCCUGACCGGUAAGUUCCCCGUGAAAUCGGGUCGCCCAACGAUUCGGCUUGCGGGGAAUACUGUCGGUCUUGGGGCCGGGAGACGCCGAGGGUACUCCGGGGGUAGCGGUGAAAUGCUGUAAUCCUCGGGGGACUACCAGUGGCGAAGGCGCUCGGCGAUAACGGGCCUGACGGUGAGGGGCGAAAGCUGGGGGCGCGAACGGGAUUAGAUACCCCUGUAGUCCCUGUCUCUUAUA
rnacentral:rRNA from 1 species